rnacentral:tRNA from 1 species
GUAUAUAUAAAAUAAGUGGUAGAAUUCUUGCCUUCCAUGCGGGAGACCUGGGUUCAAUUCCCAGUCAAUGCA